rnacentral:misc_RNA from 1 species
AGAUGGAUCAUUCAAAGAGUAAUCUUCUUUUCAACCGGCUGUUGAUUGAAACAAACGAAUUGAAAGUGGUCGGCCUUUACUAAUCUUCAACAUUAUCAAGUCAACCUAUACAACUUUCAGCGAUGGAUGUCUCGGAUCUCGUAACGAUGAAGGACGCAGCUAGCUGCGAUACGCAGUGUGACUUGCAAACUUCUGAGAAUCAUUAGAUUUUUGAACGCAAAAGGCACUUCUAGGCUCUGCUUAGGAGUAUGCUCACUUCAGUGCUUUAUCUAUUUGUCAUCUCAAUUGGGAGAUAACGUGGAUAGAGGCUGUUGUUAAUGGCUUCUCGACUUGGUGGUCUCUGACUCUAAGGUGAUACCGAAGAGCAGCAGAGGCUAACUCUAAUCAAACAAGCCUGAAUUUGAGCAAGGCUACCCGCUGAAUUUAAGCAUAUUAUUAAGCGGAGGAAAAGAAACUAACUAGGAUUCCCUUAGUAACGGCGAGUGAACAGGGAAGAGCUCAAACUGAAAAUCGGCAGCUUGCUGUCGAAUUGUAGUCUCACGAAGCACAGCCUGUGAUGUGUCUGGAUUAAGUCUCUUGGAAAAGAGUACCGAAGAGGGUGAAAGUCCCGUCUUUGUCCAGAUGAUAUUACGUUCGGCGUGUUCUCAAAGAGUCGCGUUCCUUGAGAUUGGAGCGCUAAUUGGGUGAUAAAUUUCAUCUAAAGCUAAAUACUAACGAGAUUCCGAUAGCAUACAAGUACCGUGAGGGAAAGAUGAAAAGGACUUUGAAAAGAGAGUUAAAAGGAACUGAAAUCGCUGAAAGGGAAGUGGAGGGUUCUGACGGUCUAGCAGUUCUCUGCAGUCAUCUGAUUGCAAGAGAUCUGCGGUGACUCUGGAAGAGGUUACGACUGCUGAGGAAAGUCAAUGAGUUAUACCUUUGGUCUGACUUGUUGAUCGUUAUCAGUGACGUUGAUCUUCGAUUCUCUAGCUUGUUUCUUCAGUGAAUGAGCUACAGUAUUCCAGGGAAGUCGGUUCUCUCCAUCCCGUCUUGAAACACGGACCAAGGAGUCUAACUUGUAUGCGAGUACAAGGGUGCCAAACCCACGUGCGAAAUGAAAGUAACAGUUAGGACGGCCUAGCCUGCACUAACUCCCGGUUAAAGAACUGAGGCUGAGCAUACAGGUUUGGACCCGAAAGAUGGUGAGCUUUGCCUGAGUAGGGUGAAGCCAGAGGAAACUCUGGUGGAGGCUCGUAGCGAUACUGACGUGCAAAUCGUUCGUCAAACUUGGGUAAAGGGGCGAAAGACUAAUCGAACCAUCUAGUAGCUGGUUCCCUC